rnacentral:rRNA from 1 species
UACGUAGGUGGCAAGCGUUGUCCGGAUUUACUGGGCGUAAAGAGCGCGCAGGCGGUCGGAUUAGUCGCGUGUGAAAGCCCCCGGCUCAACUGGGGAGGGUCACGCGAUACUGUUCGACUCGAAGGCAGGAGAGGGAAGUGGAAUUCCCGGUGUAGUGGUGAAAUGCGUAGAUAUCGGGAGGAACACCAGUGGCGAAGGCGACUUCCUGGCCUGUUCUUGACGCUGAGGCGCGAAAGCGUGGGGAGCAAACAGG